rnacentral:lncRNA from 1 species
UUUGUUUAUUUGUUAUUCAAAACAAUAGUUGUACUUAAUUUUGUCACACUCCAAACAUAUUAACAUACCAAUUAAAAAUAAUUGCAGAAGAUAUUUUUCAUUAACUUAUAAUUCAUAAGUUUAUAACCAAUGUUUUAGUUUGAUGAUUCCAAAAAUUAAAUGAAACUAAACACCAAAUCAAAGCUGCCAAUCCAAAGUAAAUAAAAAAGAACACCAAAUUAAAAC